UACGAAGGGCCCAAGCGUUAUCCGGAUUUAUUGGGGUUAAAGGGUGCGUAGGCGGGUUAUUAAGUCAGUGGUGAAAGCCUGCAGCUUAACUGCAGAAUUGCCAUUGAUACUGAUGAUCUUGAGUAUGAUUGAGGUGGGCGGAAUGUGUCAUGUAGCGGUGAAAUGCUUAGAUAUGACACAGAACACCGAUUGCGAAGGCAGCUCACUAAGUCAUAACUGACGCUGAUGCACGAAAGCGUGGGGAGCAAACAGG
rnacentral:rRNA from 1 species